rnacentral:rRNA from 1 species
GACGAACGCUGGCGGCGUGCCUAACACAUGCAAGUCGAACGGAGUGGCGAACGGGUGAGUAACACGUGUGUGACCUGCCCUGCACUUCGUGAUAAGCCUGGGUAACUGGGUCUAAUACCCGCUAGUGUUGGAUGGGCCCGCGGCCUAUCUGCUUGUUGGUGGGGUAAUGGCCUACCAAGGCGGCGACGGAUAGCCGGCCUGAGAGGGUGGACGGCCACAAGGGGACUGAGGCAGGGAGCAGACGCCUACGGGGGGCAGCGGGGGGAAGUAUUGCGCAGUGGGGGGAAGCGUGAUGCGGCGACGCCGGGUGGGGAAUGACGGCCAUCGGGGUGUAAACUCCUUUCACCGUCGACGCGGUAGAUGGAGAAGAAGCACCGGCUAACUACGUGCCAGCCGCCGCGGUAAGAC